AUUGAACGCUGGCGGCAUGCCUUACACAUGCAAGUCGAACGGCAGCGGGGACUUCGGUCCGCCGGCGAGUGGCGAACGGGUGAGUAAUGUAUCGGAACGUACCAUUGAGUGGGGGAUAACGUAGCGAAAGUUACGCUAAUACAGCAUAUUCUCUCCGGAGGAAAGCAGGGGACCGCAAGGCCUUGCGCUCUUUGAGCGGCCGAUAUCAGAUUAGCUAGUUGGUGGGGUGAAAGCUCACCAAGGCGACGAUCUGUAGCGGGUCUGAGAGGAGGAUCCGCCACACUGGAACUGGGACACGGUCCAGACUCCUACGGGAGUCAGCAGUGGGGAAUUUUGGACAAUGGGGGCAACCCUGAUCCAGCCAUGCCGCGUGAGUGAAGAAGGCCUUCGGGUUGUAAAGCUCUUUCGGCCGGGAAAAAAUCGCAUGGGUUAAUACCCUGUGUGGAUGAUGGUACCGGAAUAAGGAGCACCGGCUAACUACGUGCCAGCCGCCGCAGUAA
rnacentral:rRNA from 1 species